GCUUUUGUACGGAACGAAACGGCGCUCUCUAAUACAGGGCGCUAAUGACGGUACCGUAAGAAUAAGCACCGGCUAACUACGUGCCAGCAGCCGCGGUAAUACGUAGGGUGCAAGCGUUAAUCGGAAUUACUGGGCGUAAAGCGUGCGCAGGCGGUGAUGUAAGACAGAUGUGAAAUCCCCGGGCUCAACCUGGGAACUGCAUUUGUGACUGCAUCGCUGGAGUGCGGCAGAGGGGGAUGGAAUUCCGCGUGUAGCAGUGAAAUGCGUAGAUAUGCGGAGGAACACCGAUGGCGAAGGCAAUCCCCUGGGCCUGCACUGACGCUCAUGCACGAAAGCGUGGGGAGCAAACAGGAUUAGAUACCCUGGUAGUCCACGCCCUAAACGAUGUCAACUGGUUGUUGGGUCUUCACUGACUCAGUAACGAAGCUAACGCGUGAAGUUGACCGCCUGGGGAGUACGGCCGCAAGGUUG
rnacentral:rRNA from 1 species